rnacentral:rRNA from 1 species
UACAGAGGGUGCGAGCGUUGUUCGGAAUUAUUGGGCGUAAAGCGCGCGCAGGCGGGCUGGUAAGUCGGAUGUGAAAGCCAUCGGCUCAACCGAGGAAGUGCGUUCGAAACUACCGUUCUUGAGUGUCGGAGAGGGUGGCGGAAUUCCCGGUGUAGAAGUGAAAUUCGUAGAUAUCGGGAGGAACACCAGAGGCGAAGGCGGCCGCCUGGACGAACACUGACGCUGAGGCGCGAAAGCGUGGGGAGCAAACAGG